GUGCCAGCCGCCGCGGUAAUACGUAGGUGGCAAGCGUUGUCCGGAAUUACUGGGUGUAAAGGGCGUGUAGGCGGGAAUGUAAGUCAGAUGUGAAAUCCCAGAGCUUAACUCUGGAGCUGCAUCUGAAACUAUGUUUCUUGAGUGUCGGAGAGGAAAGCGGAAUUCCUAGUGUAGCGGUGAAAUGCGUAGAUAUUAGGAGGAACACCAGUGGCGAAGGCGGCUUUCUGGACGAUAACUGACGCUGAGGCGCGAAAGCGUGGGGAGCAAACAGGAUUAGAAACCCCGGUAGUCC
rnacentral:rRNA from 1 species